CUCCUACGGGAGGCAGCAGUGGGGAAUAUUGGGCAAUGGGGGAAACCCUGACCCAGCAACGCCGCGUGAAGGAAGAAGGCCUUCGGGUUGUAAACUUCUUUUACCAGGGACGAAGAACGUG
rnacentral:rRNA from 1 species